rnacentral:rRNA from 1 species
UACGUAGGGCGCAAGCGUUGUCCGGAAUUAUUGGGCGUAAAGAGCUCGUAGGUGGCUUGUCACGUCGGGUGUGAAAGCUUGGGGCUUAACUCCAGGUCUGCAUUCGAUACGGGCUGGCUAGAGGUAGGUAGGGGAGAACGGAAUUCCUGGUGUAGCGGUGAGAUGCGCAGAUAUCAGGAGGAACACCGGUGGCGAAGGCGGUUCUCUGGGCCUUACCUGACGCUGAGGAGCGAAAGCGUGGGGAGCGAACAGG